ACAAACUUGGUCAUUUAGAGGAAGUAAAAGUCGUAACAAGGUUUCCGUAGGUGAACCUGCGGAAGGAUCAUUAACGAGUUGGAAUGGGUGGGGGUUGAUGCUGGUGCACAUUAUAUGUGUGUACAUGUGCUCGCCGCCACACUCUUCAUCCACUCUCAACCCCUGUGCACCUUAUCAGAGUUAGUAGUUGUGAUUGUAGCAGCCCUUGGCUCUACUGUAACAAUGAACACUUUGACAUUACAAACACGUAUCCUGUGAAUGUGAAUGUGUGUCAUGCUCCUUGUGAGUAUAAUACAAAUAAAUACAACUUUCAACAACGGAUCUCUUGGCUCUCGCAUCGAUGAAGAACGCAGC
rnacentral:misc_RNA from 1 species